rnacentral:lncRNA from 1 species
UCCCAUUGGACCUUAAACCCAAAAGCCUAAAAAAAAUAAAAUAAAAUAAAGAAGACUCCCUGCGGGAGUCUUCUUCUCCCGACCGGCUCCUAAUUAGAGUCGGAAACCUCAUCGAAAAGGAGUCAAACUCCUCUCCUCCGACUCUAUUUAAGGGAGAGAUCCUUCUCCCUUCCUUCCAUCAUGAAAAACUUGAAACGAAACA